rnacentral:rRNA from 1 species
UACGUAGGGUGCAAGCGUUAAUCGGAAUUACUGGGCGUAAAGCGUGCGCAGGCGGUUUUGUAAGUCUGUCGUGAAAGCCCCGGGCUCAACCUGGGAAUUGCGAUGGAGACUGCAAGGCUUGAAUCUGGCAGAGGGGGGUAGAAUUCCACGUGUAGCAGUGAAAUGCGUAGAGAUGUGGAGGAACACCGAUGGCGAAGGCAGCCCCCUGGGCUGAGAUUGACGCUCAGGCACGAAAGCGUGGGGAGCAAACAGG